UCCGGUGGUUCCGCAUGGAAGGGCCAUCGCUCAACGGAUAAAAGCUACCCCGGGGAUAACAGGCUUAUCUCCCCCAAGAGUUCACAUCGACGGGGAGGUUUGGCACCUCGAUGUCGGCUCAUCGCAUCCUGGGGCUGUAGUCGGUCCCAAGGGUUGGGCUGUUCGCCCAUUAAAGCGGUACGCGAGCUGGGUUCAGAACGUCGUGAGACAGUUCGGUCCCUAUCCGUCGUGGGCGUAGGAAAUUUGAGAGGAGCUGUCCUUAGUACGAGAGGACCGGGAUGGACAUACCUCUGGUGUACCAGUUGUCGUGCCAACGGCAUAGCUGGGUAGCUAUGUGUGGACGGGAUAAGUGCUGAAAGCAUCUAAGCAUGAAGCCCCCCUCAAGAUGAGAUUUCCCAACUUCGGUUAUAAGAUCCCUCAAAGAUGAUGAGGUUAAUAGGUUCGAGGUGGAAGCAUGGUGACAUGUGGAGCUGACGAAUACUAAUCGAUCGAAGACUUAAUCAA
rnacentral:rRNA from 1 species